rnacentral:tRNA from 1 species
UUAAAAGUAGUUUAAAAAAAAUAUUAACUUUGGGAGUUAAUGAUCGGAUUACCCUCUGCUUUUAAA